rnacentral:rRNA from 1 species
GGAGGGUGCAAGCGUUAUCCGGAUUCACUGGGUUUAAAGGGUGCGUAGGCGGAUUAGUAAGUCCGUGGUGAAAUCUCCAAGCUUAACUUGGAAACUGCCAUGGAUACUAUUAGUCUUGAAUGUUGUGGAGGUUAGCGGAAUAUGUCAUGUAGCGGUGAAAUGCAUAGAUAUGACAUAGAACACCAAUUGCGAAGGCAGCUGGCUACACAAAUAUUGACGCUGAGGCACGAAAGCGUGGGGAUCAAACAGGAUUAGAUACCCUGGUAGUCCACGCCCUAAACGAUGAUUACUCGACAUUUGCGAUACACAGCAAGUGUCUGAGCGAAAGCAUUAAGUAAUCCACCUGGGAAGUACGACCGCAAGGUUG